UUGUGGGCUUCCGGUGUGGCUCCUGCCCUUUGUGUGUGUGUGUCUCUCUCUGUGUCCUGCCAGUGGUUUUACCCUAUGGUAGGUUACGUCAUGCUGUUCUACCACAGGGUAGAACCACGGACAGGAUACUGGGGCGCUCUCGGCAUCGGA